rnacentral:sRNA from 1 species
CAGACUUUCCGGGCGCCCACCAGGCUCCCGGGCUCUCACCGGAGACCACAGGGAGGAGCUUCAAGGUACCCCAAGUCCCUGCGGCCUCCAGCAGUGAAGAGUUCCACAAGGGAGUCUUCCUAUGUCACUGAGUAAUGAAUGAAGAUGAGAGGGAAAAAGAGAAGAGGCAAAGUCAAUCCAAAAAGCUCUCAAAGGAAAUUAAACUGUAUUCCAUCAUUGCCUACCUAUGAUUACUUCAACCAAGUGACGCUACAGUUAUUAGAUGGCUUUAUGAUUACACUGAGCACAGAUGGAGUGAUCGUUUAUGUGGCUGAAAACAUCUCUUCUCUUCUUGGACAUUUACCAGCUGAGAUUGUGGGCAAAAAAUUAUUAAGCCUUCUGCCUGAUGAAGAGAAAGAUGAAGUCUACCAAAAGAUUAUUCUCAAAUUUCCUUUACUAAACUCAGAAAGACAUAUUGAAUUUUGCUGUCAUUUAAAAAGAGGAAAUGUCGAACAUGGUGAUAGUUCUGCUUACGAAAACGUGAAAUUUAUUGUGAAUGUAAGAGAUAUUUGUAAUGAGUUUCCUGUGGUCUUUAGUGGCUUGUUUUCCAGCCACCUCUGUGCUGACUUUGCUGCAUGUGUUCCUCAGGAGGAUCGGCUUUAUCUUGUGGGAAAUGUUUGUAUUCUCAGGACUCAGCUCCUGCAGCAACUUUACACUUCAAAGGCAGUCAGUGAUGAAGCUGUACUUACACAAGAUUCAGAUGAGGAACCUUUUGUGGGAGAGCUCAGUAGCUCUCAAGGUCAAAGAGGACACACUAGCAUGAAAGCCGUGUAUGUUGAACCUGCUGCUGCUGCUGCUGCUGCUGCUGCUGCUGCUGCUAUCUCAGACGACCAAAUCGAUAUUGCAGAGGUUGAGCAGUAUGGACCACAAGAAAACGUUCAUAUGUCUGUAGAUUCUGAUUCAACUUACUGCUCCAGUACAGUUUUCCUGGAUACUAUGCCUGAAUCUCCAGCCUUAUCCUUGCAAGACUUUCGAGGUGAGCCUGAGGUGAAUCCAUUGUACAGGGCAGACCCAGUGGACCUGGAGUUCUCGGUGGAUCAGGUGGACUCAGUGGACCAGGAGGGCCCAAUGGACCAGCAGGACCCAGAGAACCCAGUUGCCCCAUUGGACCAGGCAGGCCUGAUGGAUCCAGUGGAUCCAGAGGACUCAGUGGACCUGGGGGCUGCUGGCGCAAGUGCUCAGCCAUUACAGCCAUCAUCACCAGUUGCAUAUGACAUCAUUAGCCAGGAACUGGAACUGAUGAAGAAGUUGAAGGAGCAGCUAGAAGAGAGGACUUGGUUGCUGCAUGAUGCCAUCCAAAACCAGCAGAAUGCAUUGGAAUUGAUGAUGGAUCACCUUCAGAAGCAGCCAAACACAUUACGCCACAUUGUCAUUCCUGAUCUCCAAUCUUCGGAGGCAGUGCCCAAGAAACAACAGAAACAACACGCUGGGCAAGUGAAGCGGCCUCUCCCACAUCCCAAGGAGGUCAAGUGUUUCUGUGGUUUAUCUUUAUCCAACUCUCUCAAAAACACUGGGGAGCUUCAGGAGCCUUGUGUUGCCUUCAACCAGCAGCAACUGGUGCAGCAAGAGCAACACCUGAAGGAGCAUCAGCGGCAGCUGCGGGAGCAGCAGCGGCAGCUGCGGGGGCAGCUGCAACAGCUGAGGGAGCAAAGGAAGGUGCAGAAGCAGAAGAAGAUGCAGGAGAAGAAGCAGCUGCAGGAGCAGAAAAUGCAGGAGAAGAAGAAGCUGCCGGAGCCGAGGCGGCAAAAGAAGAAGAAGCUACAGGAGCGGAAGAAGUGGCAGGGGCAGAUGCUACAGAAAGAGCCAGAGGAGGAGCAGCAGAAGCAGCAGUUGCAAGAGCAGCCACUGAAGCAUAAUGUCAUCGUGGGGAAUGAGAGGGUGCAGAUAUGCCUGCAAAACCCAAGUGAGGUAUCUGUGCCCCUCUGCAAUAACCCUGUUAGAUUUUUACAGACCCAACCCAUUGUUCCUAUCCAGAGAGUAGCUGAACAACAGCCCUCUGGCUUCUAUCAAGAUGAAAACUGUGGGCAACAGGAAGAUGAGAGUCAAAGGUAAGACAUGCAUGGAAUGGUGAUAGUGGCUAUGAUUAUUGCUUUUCCCUCAUGGCUGGAUCCCAUGCCUGAGAUCACAGACAGAUGACCUGUCCAUGUGGCACCAGCGUCCCUCUCAUCAAUAGCAACUUGCUCUCAACUUGCCUUCUCUGUGGCCACUGCCAUCAUCCUUCUGCGUGUGUGGUGCAUGGAUGAGCAUCCAUUGAUGGAACAAAGGGGUACCCAUGAAGAAAGGACUAGAUAAGGAAGCCUCAAUGCUAGGGAAUUAGCCCACAAACUUUGAAAUCACUUGGCUGGAUUCCCCAAGCCCAGUCUCUUGCACAGGGUGUCUAUGGACAAGUCUUGUGCCCAUAGCUGAAUAACUUCUGGGCUUCCAGUUUCAUUCCCCAACUUUCCUGGAAUCUGGUGAUGGCAGUAGGCCAAGUGCAGGUAUCUCCCUGGCAUUUAUGAACAGUAAGAGGGAAGUGAGUGUGAAACAGUUGCUAGAUUGCUAAGAUCAGCCAAGAACACAUGAAGGCUAAGUCCUGAGUGGCAAUAUAGGGACACGAACACAUUUCUGCUCAAUAAUAAGGUCUUCAGUUCCAAAUGCUAGAAAGAUAAGGUUCUUCCCAGCAAUGAAAGGAUUGCUUAGCACAUAGUUGGGGCCCACUAAAUAGUUUUGAAUGAAUGUUAGCUUUCUGAGACGGGCCUCCUAAAGCUCUCUGGACUUCCUUCUGGGCCUUGCUUUCGAAUCAGUGACUUUGACAUGUAGACUGCUUUAGGGCCAUAUUGCCCACCUGACCUGAUCAUCAGAAUCCACCUGAGGAGGGUUUGGAAAGUAUAGAUUCAGAGUCUGGGAUGGGGUUCAAAAAUCUGUAUUGAUCACAAGACUUCCAGGCUUAGGGUUGUGGAGAGAGCACUGGAUUUGGAGUUUGGAAAUCUGCCUUACAGUCUCCGCUCAGCCAUUAGCUCCCUGAGUGCUUUCAAAGUAGGUGAAAUGACUUUCCAAGGCCACAGAGAGCAUAGUUGUAGCAGGAACAAGACUGUCCAAGUAAUAUAAAUAAAACCAGGUGAGACAAGGGAUUGUAAUUUCUCUCAGUGUCUACAUUCACUUUACUUUGACAAGUUGAAUCUUAGUCAGGCCAAAGUGAGAAUACAAACAAGUGAAUCCUGUGGUAUAGCCACCAAAACCAAAUGUGCCUGAAGCACCUACUGAUGACCACGUGAGUGUCUCAUCAGUUAUCAUGUCCAGAUCCACGUCACUGCAACAGCUUUCUUCUCUUACAGUUUUUAUCCUGAGGUGUAUCAAGGGCCCCCCAUGAACCAGCUGUCAUUGAUAGAUACCUCAAACUCUGAGACAAUUUCUUCUUCCAGCAUUCCUCAGUUUCCCAUAACUUCAGACUCAACCAUAAGCACCCUGGAGACCCCACAGGAUUACAUCCGGCUUUGGCAAGAGUUGUCUGAUUCACUCGGUCCUGUUAUCCAAGUGAAUACUUGGACUUGCGAUGAGCAGGGCACCCUGCACGGCCAACCCACCUACCGUCAGGUGCAAGUUUCUGAGGUAGGAAUCGAGGGACCUCCUGAUCCACAGGCUUUCCAAGGCCCUGCUGCAUACCAGCCAGACCAGAUGAGAUCUGCGGAGCAGACCAGAUUGAUGCCUGCAGAGCAACGUGACUCAAAUAAGCCGUGCUAACAGUACUUUCAUGACCAGUGAUGAGGGGAAAUGGGGGGAGGGGGCAGGCCAAUGAGGUCUGCAUGGCCAGGGGACCUUCAAGGUGCGUAAAGUCCCUUGGGGUAGGGUUUAGUAGGUAGAGACUUAUUUGUUUCCUGAUAGAUUAUGUUUGUAAUUGUUUGUUAAGCACAGCCUGUUUCUUGGAAGUUAUGCUGUAGAGGCAGCCUGUGAUCCGUAGUAUGCUAGGGUGUGACAGCAGCCAGCCACAGCUGGAUUUGAUGUCUUGUCUGCCCCGCCCAGCUUUGCAUAUCCAUGUUCUACCACAGGAAGGUGGCCUGCCAAGAGUCUGCUCAAAGUUUUCAACAUAAAGAAAAAAGAAAAAAAAUGCCAAA